GAGUAAAGUGGCGCACGGGUGAGUAACACGUGAGUAACUUGCCUGCAAAUUGGGGACAACCUGCCGAAAGGUGGGCUAAUACCGAAUAAUACUCCGGGGACACAAGUUCUCGGAGCCAAAGACGCCUUAAACGUCGUUUGCAGAUAAGCUCGCGCACCAUUAGCUAGUUGGCGGGGUAAUGGCCCACCAAGGCUACGAUGGUUAGCUGGUCUGAGAGGAUGAUCAGCCACACUGGAACUGAGACACGGUCCAGACUCCUACGGGAGGCAGCAGUGAGGAAUAUUGCGCAAUGGGCGAAAGCCUGACGCAGCAACGCCGCGUGAGCGAUGAAGGCCCUUGGGUUGUAAAGCUCUGUCGGGUGGGACGAAAAAAAUGACGGUACCACCAAAGGAAGCCCCGGCUAACUCCGUGCCAGCAGCCGCGGUAAUACGGAGGGGGCAAGCGUUGUUCGGAAUUAUUGGGCGUAAAGGGCGUGUAGGCGGCUUGAUAAGUCAGGCGUGAAAUCCCUCGGCUCAACCGGGGAACUGCGUUUGAAACUGUCAAGCUUGAGUGCGGGAGAGGAGAGUGGAAUUCCCAGUGUAGCGGUGAAAUGUGUAGAUAUUGGGAAGAACACCGGUGGCGAAGGCGGCUCUCUGGACCGUUACUGACGCUGAGACGCGAAAGCUAUGGGAGCGAACGGGAUUAGAUACCCCGGUAGUCCUAGCCGUAAACGAUGGGUACUAGUGUAGGAAGUAUCGACCCUUUCUGUGCCGUAGCUAACGCAUUAAGUACCCCGCCUGGGGAGUACGGUCGCAAGGCUGAAACUCAAGGAAUUGACGGGGGCCCGCACAGCGGUGGAGCAUGUGG
rnacentral:rRNA from 1 species